rnacentral:lncRNA from 1 species
AUACGAUAUAAUGCAUCACUACCCAUUAUUCAACCGGGUGGUCAGCAUGUACUAUUCAGAGAAUGACACCCCCAGUCUUCCCUCGCUCCAUGAUGUGAGGGAUUUGAGAGGGAUGCUGGACAGGAGUGUUCGCGAGCAUGAGUCCGUACAUGGGCUUUCCGUCACCGGUAUGGACCACCUAACCUUCACAAAGUGGAACUACCCUCAUGUCAAGGAUGAAGCGACGCUCGGUCUAAUGAGCAACAUAAGCGACCGAGCCCAGGUGGAUUCUGUGAAACCUCACUCGAAACGUGAGGUCCAGCCCCGUGACUAUGAUGAUUUCACCACUGUGAACGAGCAGUUGACACGUGCAUACAAAAACCCCAAACGCACUGGCGGACAGAUACGCCAGACGGGCAAGAAGCCGCACAUUUCGGACACUUCGGCUCGUCCGCUGGACGACAACGCUGUUUUCACGAUACGCUCAUUCAACAACCACCCAGGAACUUUGACCGAUAGACCCGUAGCCUUUCCCUACAACUUUAACGUGCACACCGGACAGGGCGUCACAUUCAAUGACCUGGUGGACUACUGUGUAACGCGACGACCGGAGAAACAGAUCGGGUCGCUGCCACCUCGCAGGGAAUGGGGCUCUGUGAAUCCGGUGUUGCUGAUGGAGGACACGCAGGACCCCGUCACGGGGAAAUCGGUCCAUUCAUACACUAUAACAUCGAGAGGUCAUCUCAGUACGAUGACAACCCAGCGGGACCGCGUGCGUUGUUACAACGAGGUGUUCCUACCGGGAAGACCUGUGAGUCGGCUGAAUCUGGAUGUGGACACGAAGUGUUGCACACUUUGUCAUGAAAGGUUCGCCGUGAAAGCCGACGACGUCACAAAACGUAAAGUGAGCCAGGCGAUGGCUUCUAGCCUGUUGCUAGUGAUAGCAGAAUCGUUGCUCCGCAUGUCAAAACCAGCCGAUAGCUCGGAUGACGUGGACCUCAGAGAGUUAAUCGGAGCCAUCGGAAAGAUAUCCGUGUAUGUCAGAUCGUCACCGGCUAAGUCGAAGUUGAGCCUUAGGAUGUUAUGGUAUCUACCCGUUGAGUUGUGCAGUGUUCGCGGGAUAGAAGUGUACAGGCCUCUGCUUCAGGAAAUGGAGAAGAUAUCUCUUCGUUACGUCUUGCUGUCAUACCCAGAGGACUCGCGGUCCUGCGGCCUCUGCGAUCUGAGCAAGGCCAUAUUGCGGACCGCUUCGAACAUUCAGUGUCUACGGUUGAGCGCUGAGCUUUGUAAAAACA